GGAGAGGGCAACUUUGGGGCCGUUCCUYGUCUAUGUUCCUUGGAACAGGACGUCAUAGAGGGUGAGAAUCCCGUGUGGCGAGGAGUGCGGUUCUUUGUAAAGUGCCUUCGAAGAGYCGAGUUGUUUGGGAAUGCAGCUCUAAGUGGGUGGUAAAUUCCAUCUAAAGCUAAAUAUUGGCGAGAGACCGAUAGCGAACAAGUACAGUGAUGGAAAGAUGAAAAGAACUUUGAAAAGAGAGUGAAAAAGUACGUGAAAUUGUUGAAAGGGAAGGGCAUUUGAUCAGACAUGGUGUUUUGUGCCCUCUGCUCCUUGUGGGUAGGGGAAUCUCGCAUUUCACUGGGCCAGCAUCAGUUUUGGUGGCAGGAUAAAUCCAUAGGAAUGUAGCUUGCCUCGGUAAGUAUUAUAGCCUGUGGGAAUACUGCCAGCUGGGACUGAGGACUGCGACGUAAGUCAAGGAUGCUG
rnacentral:rRNA from 1 species